rnacentral:tRNA from 1 species
GCCUGGGUGGCUCAGUUGGUUGAGUAUCUGAUUUUGGCUCAGGUCAUGAUCUCGCAGUCUGUGAGUUCGAGCCCCGCAUUGGGCU